GCCUGUACCAAUAUUACCUCAACUUCCCAGUUCAGCCGAUGUACUCACUGCUGCGAUUCAAAUUUAUGUAACAAUCAAGCGUGUGGUGAACCGGGAUACCCUGCCGACAGGGGCCUUAUCUGCUACAGCUGCCAUGAUCCGGUACCAGCCGGCAUGUGUCACAAUAUAGACUUUUGUAGAAAGGGAGAGGAAUGUAGCGUUAUAGGAAAACAGCUGUUUGGAACGACCGUUUUCACCUCCCAGUGCCAAAAGACUUUUG